AGCGAACGCUGGCGGCAGGCCUAACACAUGCAAGUCGAACGGACCCUUCGGGGUUAGUGGCGGACGGGUGAGUAACACGUGGGAACGUGCCUUUAGGUUCGGAAUAGCUCCUGGAAACGGGUGGUAAUGCCGAAUGUGCCCUUCGGGGGAAAGAUUUAUCGCCUUUAGAGCGGCCCGCGUCUGAUUAGCUAGUUGGUGGUGUAACGGACCACCAAGGCGACGAUCAGUAGCUGGUCUGAGAGGAUGAUCAGCCACAUUGGGACUGAGACACGGCCCAAGCUCCUACGGGAGGCAGCAGUGGGGAAUCUUGCGCAAUGGGCGAAAGACUGACGCAGCCAUGCCGCGUGAAUGAUGAAGGUCUUAGGAUUGUAAAAUUCUUUCACCGGGGACGAUAAUGACGGUACCCGGAGAAGAAGCCCCGGCUAACUUCGUGCCAGCCGCCGCGGUAACAC
rnacentral:rRNA from 1 species